rnacentral:rRNA from 1 species
UACGUAGGGGGCAAGCGUUGUCCGGAAUCAUUGGGCGUAAAGCGCGUGUAGGCGGCUCGGUAAGUCCGCUCUGAAAGUCCAGGGCUCAACCCUGGAAUGCCGGUGGAAACUGUCAAGCUUGAGUCCGGAAGAGGCGAGUGGAAUUCCUGGUGUAGCGGUGAAAUGCGCAGAUAUCAGGAGGAACACCAAUGGCGAAGGCAGCUCGCUGGGACGGUACUGACGCUGAGGAGCGAAAGCGUGGGGAGCGAACAGG